ensembl:lncRNA
CUCAGACCUGGCAGCCUGAGAGAAGGAAGACCAUAUUUUCUUAUUUGGUUGAAGAGUAUUGGCAUUAAUCUAUGCCAAGAGUAAACAGAGUAUGGUUUGCAGAUGUUUUGAUAUGGCCUGUCUGAUCACUUGUAUAAUCAAGAAAAAAGGACUACCUUCUAUAACAAAAAAUAUUGAAAAAAAUUCCUGGAUGUACAUGACAGAUGAUGCCCUGAUACUGUGUACCAUAUUUCAGAGCCGAGGAAGCUGUAGAAAAAUAUCUGAAGCUAGCAGAGGUUGGUUCAUGAUGUUUAAGGAAAGAAGCCAUGACGGAUGAAAAAUAGAGAAAGCUAGAGAAAAAGAGAGGGAGAAGUGAAAUCUUAACACAAGUGGCAAGACUGGUAAGAUUUUUUGAAACUAAUCUGUGGGCUUGAUCUCAA